AUGUAGGGCAGCCUAUCUUCAAGAAGAGGUAAAUUACUCUGCUAAAAAUGAUCUUAGAUAGUUUUCCCUUCAUGUUAAGCAUCUUUU
rnacentral:pre_miRNA from 1 species